AAGGUUAGAUAUAUUUGUUUGCUGAAAAUUGUUAGCUCCUGGCCUUGUUUUAAAAUAAUUUUGCUUUCUAACUUUAUUUGCAUCAUGCUUUCCCCCUUAUAGAUUAUUAGAAACAGAAUGGAGAAACAGAAAUAAGACACGAGGUUCCAAAUUGAAUUGUGUUAUGCAGUUUAAGAGUAAUGAAUCCCAGCAGCCUAUUCUUGUCAGGUUCGUUUGAAGCUCUAUUGUGAAGCGUAACGUUAACCAGAAAUCGCGAAUUUUUCUGGACGAGUAAAGAACGAACUACGGCGCCGAAAGAUGCGGAAGGAGAAACGUAAAGGCUUGCUCGCAGCGAAUAAUAGAACGAAAGAAUCGUAAAGAGAUGUCGGACAUGCCUUGGGACAUUAAUGCACGCAAAUACAAAACUCGAUUUCGACAAUAUGCAUGAGUAGAAAUUGCAUGGAAUUUGGCUUUUUUGACUGAGAUAUAAACUGAACACUCUUCUGUUUACCUCCUUCAUUUUCAAGUUUUCCGCCUGUGCAUGAUUUUUGCAUGAAGUCUGGUCGUAUCAAGCGCAUGCGGAGUGAAUACAAGUGAUUCUGGGGCCCCAAUCACCUGUGUUUUCUCCAUCUUGACGACUAUAUAGUCCGGACAAAAAUAUCGCUCAGAGAGCGCCUAAAACAUAACAACAUGAAAUAUGUAUUUCUAGAAGGAGAUGACAGUCCAGUGUUCUUGCUU